AGAGACCUGGACCAGGGCUCAGAAUGUCUAAUGUGCAAAAUCUGGUGUGAGCUGCAUUAAUAUCGUAGUAUCUUUAGGUGGCAAAGCCCAAAAAGGGGAAGUAAAAAAUGUCUCCAAAGGCAAUCCUAUCUCUAAAAAUUACCCAGCUUUUUAACGCACUUCCACAGACUUGAAGCAGCUGGUAUCACUGGAUAAAAGAGAGCAUUGUACUAAAGAGCCGGGGAAAGUCCGACACCCGCCCUUCCUCGUUGCCAGAGGCCUCCAGUUAUACACGGCAAUUGACCACAGUGGAUGCCAGUACUUCAUCGGACUCUCCGUCGCAAAGAACGCCCUCGAGCUUGUGUCCAAGGCGACUGAUAGGAAAGGAAAGAAAUCAGAUGCUCGUGAGGAUAAGGAAAAAAGUUUUGGCAUCUCAGCUCCAGGAACCACUAUAAAAGCAUGAAGUCAAUGUAACCCAAAUCCAAUGAAGUGUGACUAGGAAGACUUCAGCUUAAUUAACUAAUUAAGAAGGAAUGCAUAAAGACCCCGGAGCUUUGAGACGAAAGGCAUUAUAGCAAGGCAAAAGUGCAUUACGGAUCUCUAAGUCAUGAGUGGACGCAAUACUGA